rnacentral:tRNA from 1 species
UCCCUUGUAAGCUCAGUUGGUAAAGAAUCUGCCUACAAUGCAGGAGAUCCAGGUUCGAUCCCUGGGUCGGGAA